AUUACUAAGAGAUGGUCCCGCGGUGUAUUAGUUAGUUGGUGAGGUAAUGGCUCACCAAGACAAUGAUACAUAGCCGAGUUGAGAGACUGACCGGCCACAAUGGGACUGAGACACGGCCCAUACUCCUACGGGAGGCAGCAGUAGGGAAUCUUCCACAAUGGACGAAAGUCUGAUGGAGCAACGCCGCGUGUGUGAUGAAGGGUUUCGGCUCGUAAAACACUGUUGUAAGAGAAGAAUGACAUUGAGAGUAACUGUUCAAUGUGUGACGGUAUCUUACCAGAAAGGAACGGCUAAAUACGUG
rnacentral:rRNA from 1 species